GACGUACGCUGGCGGCGUGCUUAACACAUGCCAGUCGAACGGAAAGGCCCUGCUUUUGUGGGGUGCUCGAGUGGCGAACGGGUGAGUAACACGUGAGUAACCUGCCCUUGACUUUGGGAUAACUUCAGGAAACUGGGGCUAAUACCGGAUAGGAGCUCCUGCUGCAUGGUGGGGGUUGGAAAGUUUCGGCGGUUGGGGAUGGACUCGCGGCUUAUCAGCUUGUUGGUGGGGUAGUGGCUUACCAAGGCUUUGACGGGUAGCCGGCCUGAGAGGGUGACCGGCCACAUUGGGACUGAGAUACGGCCCAGACUCCUACGGGAGGCAGCAGUGGGGAAUAUUGCACAAUGGGCGGAAGCCUGAUGCAGCAACGCCGCGUGCGGGAUGACGGCCUUCGGGUUGUAAACCGCUUUCGCCUGUGACGAAGCGUGAGUGACGGUAAUGGGUAAAGAAGCACCGGCUAACUACGUG
rnacentral:rRNA from 1 species